UCCUCGGUAGCUCAGUUGGUAGAGCAAUUGGCUGUUAACCAAUCGGUCGCUGGUUCGAAUCCAGCCCGGGGAGCAU
rnacentral:tRNA from 2 species